rnacentral:rRNA from 1 species
GAUGAACGCUGGCGGCGUGCCUAAUACAUGCAAGUCGAGCGAACGGACGAGAAGCUUGCUUCUCUGAUGUUAGCGGCGGACGGGUGAGUAACACGUGGAUAACCUACCUAUAAGACUGGGAUAACUUCGGGAAACCGGAGCUAAUACCGGAUAAUAUUUUGAACCGCAUGGUUCAAAAGUGAAAGACGGUCUUGCUGUCACUUAUAGAUGGAUCCGCGCUGCAUUAGCUAGUUGGUAAGGUAACGGCUUACCAAGGCAACGAUGCAUAGCCGACCUGAGAGGGUGAUCGGCCACACUGGAACUGAGACACGGUCCAGACUCUGACGGGAGGCAGCAGUAGGGAAGCUUCCGAAAUGGGCGAAAGCCUGACGGAGCAACGCCGCGUGAGUGAUGAAGGGCUGCGGAUCGUAAAACGCUGUUAUUAGGGAAGAACAUAUGUGUAAGUAACUGUGCACAUCUGGACGGUACCUAAUCAGAAAGCCACGGCUAACUACGG